AAACAAAGCUUUUACUUGGGGCUGACUUAGGGUUUCAGAGGUUUGGCCCAUUCAUGGUGGGAGUAUGGCAGCACGCAGGCAGACAAGGUGCUAUAGAAGUAGCUGACAGUUCUACACCUGGAUCCACAGACAGACGAAGAGAGAGCCACUGGGCUUGGCUUGUGCUUUUUAAAACCUCAAAGCCCACCCCCAGUGACACACCUCCUAAUCCCUCAGAAGUAGUGGUUUUUGAUGACUAAGAACUUCAACACAUGUGCUCAUGGGGGCCAUUCUUAUUCAAACCACCACACAGCUCCAGACUAAUUUCCUAAGGGUCACGUGCAAACCAUGUCGAAUGAGACGCGACAGCGACCCAGCGUGUGGACUCUGUGACUGUACUAAGCACAGGUCCGCUAAUUCUCAGCCAGGGUUCAAGCAAAGGAUCAAGGUUUCCACAGGUUCAAUGAAGUUUAAAGACAGGAGAUGCAACUGAAAACCACCUCCCAGCUACCCCGGACGCAGGCGAUGCAACUGAAAACCACCUCCCAGCUACCCCGGACGCAGGCGAUGCAACUGAAAACCACCUCCCAGCUACCCCGGACGCAGGCAAUGCAACUGAAAACCACCUCCCAGCUACCCUGGACGCAGGCGCUGACUGUCUAUUGAAACUCUCAGCUUUGCUGCUCCAUGUACUCAGCUGGUCUUCUCAGUCUCCUGGGCUUCUUUAUGUUUUCUAAGACCAUGGCUUUCUAUCACUCUUUGCAGGACUGAUACCACUACCUUAAUUUCAAUGUCCCACAUUACAGUAAUGACUCCCCAAUUCUAUCUUCACUCCAAAUCAUUCCCCACAAUACAGCUCUACCAACAGGGAGCGUGGAGGGGUGUACCUAAUCAGUAAAGCAGCAUAAUAAACCUUGGCAUGCCAGAUAUUUUUAAAGGCUUCACAAAGACAUAAUUCACAUACUAUACAAUUUGUUCAGUGACUCAACGGUUUUACUAUACUCACAGUUAUGUACCAUGAACACAUCUAAUUUUAGAACAGACUCAUCAGUCCAGAAAGAAGUUUGGCAUGCUUUGCAGUCAUCUCUUAUGUUCCCCAACACACCACUGCUCUAGGUAACCACUGUGUGUUCCGUCUCUAAUUCGCUCAUUUUGAACACUGCAUAUAAAUGCAAGCAUGUAUUCAA